rnacentral:rRNA from 1 species
AUUGAACGCUGGCGGCAGGCCUAACACAUGCAAGUCGAGCGAGUGGCGGACGGGUGAGUAAUGUAUGGGGAACUGCCUGAUGGAGGGGGAUAACUACUGGAAACGGUAGCUAAUACCGCAUACCAUCGGAUGUACCCAGAUGGGAUUAGCUAGUAGGUGAGGUAACGGCUCACCUAGGCGACGAUCCCUAGCUGGUCUGAGAGGAUGACCAGCCACACUGGGACUGAGACACGGCCCAGACUCCUACGUGAGGCAGCAGUGGGGAAUAUUGCACAAUGGGCGCAAGCCUGAUGCAGCCAUGCCGCGUGUAUGAAGAAGGCCUUCGGGUUGUAAAGUACUUUCAGUCGGGAGGCGUUACCGGCAGAAGAAGCACCGGCUAACUCCGUGCCAGCAGCCGCGGUAAUAC